GACGAACGCUGGCGGCGUGCCUAAUACAUGCAAGUUGAGCGAUGAAGAUUGGUGCUUGCACCAAUUUGAAGAGCAGCGAACGGGUGAGUAACGCGUGGGUAAUCUGCCUUUGAGCGGGGGACAACAUUUGGAAACGAAUGCUAAUACCGCAUAACAACUUUAAACAUAAGUUUUAAGUUUGAAAGAUGCAAUUGCAUCACUCAAAGAUGAUCCCGCGUUGUAUUAGCUAGUUGGUGAGGUAAAGGCUCACCAAGGCGAUGAUACAUAGCCGACCUGAGAGGGUGAUCGGCCACAUUGGGACUGAGACACGGCCCAAACUCCUACGGGAGGCAGCAGUAGGGAAUCUUCGGCAAUAGACGAAAGUCUGACCGAGCAACGCCGCGUGAGUGAAGAAGGUUUUCGGAUCGUAAAACUCUGUUGGUAGAGAAGAACGUUGGUGAGAGUGGAAAGCUCAUCAAGUGACGGUAACUACCCAGAAAGGGACGGCUAACUACGUG
rnacentral:rRNA from 1 species